GUGUCAGUGGAGUGACUGUAGUGACUCAGAGUCCAGUAAUCACAGUCAGUAAAGGACAAACCGCUCAACUGGACUGUAAUCUGGGGACAGUGACUGAUUCUGGUGUUAGAUGACUGAGGAGGUUUUUGUACGGCUGAACAUAUCAAAUCUUUCACUGUGGUAUUCGGACAAGGAACUAAACUCAUUGUGACGGACGCUGCUGCUGCUCCUCCUGUGCUCACCAUCCUCCGUCCAUCAUCCAGAGAAGAGCUGAGCUCCAGUAAAGUCACUCUGCUGUGUCUGAUCAAUCACAUGUCUGUGGCUUUCGCUGAUGUGCGUUGGCUUGUGAACGGGAACUCGGUUACCGAAGGCGUCUUCACCGGCUCUGCUGAACAGCAGCCUGAUCACAAAUUCAAGAGCAGCAGUUCUUUAACCAUCCAGAGGUCCGAGUGGGACAAAGACAGAGAGCUGACAUGUGAAGCCACUGUGGCCUCCAAAACCAGCAGAGCAAGCAUCAGGAAAUCUGAAUGCAGCGACUGAACCUGGAGAAGCGGAUGUGCUGUUCUACUGUUAUCAGAGCUGAUCAUAUCUCUUGCUGGAGUGGCUCAUCAAUAUAGAGAGUGUUCAAAUAAAGCCUCCUCAUUUUCUGCUGAUGAUCUUUCACCUUUAAUGUUGAUGUGAGCUGAUUUACAACUGUUUUAAUAAACUGCAUCUUUAACAAA
rnacentral:lncRNA from 1 species